GAUGAACGCUGGCGGCGUGCCUAAUACAUGCAAGUCGAGCGAACGGACGAGAAGCUUGCUUCUCUGAUGUUAGCGGCGGACGGGUGAGUAACACGUGGAUAACCUACCUAUAAGACUGGGAUAACUUCGGGAAACCGGAGCUAAUACCGGAUAAUAUUUUGAACCGCAUGGUUCAAAAGUGAAAGACGGUCUUGCUGUCACUUAUAGAUGGAUCCGCGCUGCAUUAGCUAGUUGGUAAGGUAACGGCUUACCAAGGCAACGAUGCAUAGCCGACCUGAGAGGGUGAUCGGCCACACUGGAACUGAGACACGGUCCAGACUCCUACGGGAGGCAGCAGUAGGGAAUCUUCCGCAAAGGGCGAAAGCCUGACGGAGCAACGCCGCGUGAGUGAUGAAGGUCUUCGGAUCGUAAAACUCUGUUAUUAGGGAAGAACAUAUGUGUAAGUAACUGUGCACAUCUUGACGUUACCUAAUCAGAAAGCCACGGCUAACUACGUG
rnacentral:rRNA from 1 species